rnacentral:rRNA from 1 species
UACGGGGGGAGCAAGCGUUGUUCGGAUUUACUGGGCGUAAAGGGCGCGUAGGCGGUCAGCACAAGUCAAUUGUGAAAUCUCCGAGCUUAACUCGGAAAGGUCAACUGAAACUGUGCGACUAGAGUGCGGAAGGGGCAACUGGAAUUCUUGGUGUAGCGGUGAAAUGCGUAGAUAUCAAGAGGAACACCUGCGGCGAAGGCGGGUUGCUGGGCCGACACUGACGCGAAGCGCGAAAGCCAGGGGAGCGAACGGG